GGAUUAGAUACCCUGGUAGUCCACACCGUAAACGAUGAGUGCUAGUUGUCUGCAGGCAUGCCUGUAGGUGACGCAGCUAACGCAUUAAGCACUCCGCCUGGGGAGUACGGCCGCAAGGUUAAAACUCAAAGAAAUUGACGGGGGCCCGCACAAGCGGUGGAGCAUGUGGUUUAAUUCGAAGCAACGCGCAGAACCUUACCUACGCUUGACAUGCCCGGACGAUUUCCAGAGAUGGAUCUCUCCCUUCGGGGCCGGUGCACAGGUGCUGCAUGGCUGUCGUCAGCUCGUGCCG
rnacentral:rRNA from 1 species